UUGUUCAUUUGGUCGAAUUUUAUAAUACCCAAAAAUGCAUAUAUGUAUAUAUAUCUUUAAGAGUAGUGAUCAGGCGAUGGAACUUGCACGAAGCAAAAACGCAGAUAAAUUGAAUUCUGUAAAACUGGGAUGAAACUAAGCACGCGAUUGGUUACAGCGUCGCAGACAUCGAAAUUAACGUAUCUGAUUGGUGUUUGCUACGUCAUCAGUGCUUCAUGUGGUAGCAAUCGCAAUUUCAGGACAAGCCUGAGAGGCGUUUGGCACAUCAUAAGUUCAUAAAGUUUCGAGGUGGAAGGACGUAUUUUCGUGUCUCUUAAAUUCAACUUAUCGAGCAAAUUUUUUGGCAGAAUUAGUUUUAAUUAGUUCUACGUCUGAAAGGUUAUAUCUUGAAGCAGACACAGGUGGCCGCGUCGCCAUUUUUAAUAAUAAUAAUAAUAAAUGAGAGAGAAUUAAUGUUCAGUAUGGUUAUACUGAAACAGUCCAUGUCUACAUGGGUGUGGUCUUUCCUGGAUUAUAUUCUUGAUUUGCUGUUUCGUCUUCGCCUUGUAACAUCAUGCAGUUAAUUUUCGACCCAUGAGCGAGUGCAACUGGAUAUUUAUUUGAAUUCCACUGAAAUAAGAAAUUCUCUGCUACAGUAUUCCUCCUUGAGUUGGUUUACUUUUCACACCUGUAAACUUUGGAGUGUUACGUUCUAUAAUUAAUUAAGAUCGACGUUGGAGAAGACAAAGAU